UACGUAGGGUGCAAGCGUUGUCCGGAAUUACUGGGCGUAAAGGGCUCGUAGGCGGCCAACUAAGUCAGACGUGAAAUCCCUCGGCUUAACCGGGGAACUGCGUCUGAUACUGGAUGGCUUGAGUUUGGGAGAGGGAUGCGGAAUUCCAGGUGUAGCGGUGAAAUGCGUAGAUAUCUGGAGGAACACCGGUGGCGAAGGCGGCAUCCUGGACCAACACUGACGCUGAGUGAGCGAAAGCCAGGGGAGCAAACGGG
rnacentral:rRNA from 1 species